rnacentral:rRNA from 1 species
CCUGGCAGCCACAGAGUGUUGGAACCACCUGAUCCCAUCCCGAACUCAGUAGUGAAACGACACAUCGCCGAUGAUAGUAUGGGGAUUUCCCAUGUGAAAGUAGGACACUGCCAGGG